rnacentral:rRNA from 1 species
AUUGAACGCUGGCGGCAGGCUUAACACAUGCAAGUCGAACGAGUGGCGGACGGGUGAGUAAUGUCUGGGAAACUGCCCGAUGGAGGGGGCUAACUACUGGCAACGGUAGCUAAUACCGCAUACCAUCGGAUGUGCCCAGAUGGGAUUAGCUAUUAGGUGGGGUAAAGGCUCACCUAGGCGACGAUCCCUAGCUGGUCUGAGAGGAUGACCAGCCACACUGGAACAGAGACAGGGUCCAGACGCCGACGGGAGGAAGCAGUGGGGAAUAUUGCGAAAUGGGCGCAAACCUGAUGCAGGCAUGCCGCGUGUAUGAAGAAGGCCUUCGGGUUGUAAAGUACUUUCAGCGGGGAGGCGUUACCCGCAGAAGAAGCACCGGCAAACUCCGUGCCAGCAGCCGCGGUAAUAC